UACGGGAGGCAGCAGUGGGGAAUAUUGCACAAUGGGCGCAAGCCUGAUGCAGCGACGCCGCGUGAGCGAAGAAGUAUUUCGGUAUGUAAAGCUCUAUCAGCAGGGAAGAUAAUGACGGUACCUGACUAAGAAGCACCGGCUAAAUACGUGCCAGCAGCCGCGGUAAU
rnacentral:rRNA from 1 species